rnacentral:rRNA from 1 species
CCUACGGGGGGCAGCAGUGAGGAAUAUUGGUCAAUGGACGAGAGUCUGAACCAGCCAAGUAGCGUGAAGGAUGACUGCCCUAUGGGUUGUAAACUUCUUUUAUAUGGGAAUAAAAUGUUCCACGUGUGGGAUUUUGUAUGUACCAUAUGAAUAAGGAUCGGCUAACUCCGUGCCAGCAGCCGCGGUAAUACGGAGGAUCCGAGCGUUAUCCGGCUUGAUUGGGUUUAAAGGGAGCGUAGGUGGAUUGUUAAGUCAGUUGUGAAAGUUUGCGGCUCAACCGUAAAAUUGCAGUUGAAACUGGCAGUCUUGAGUACAGUAGAGGUGGGCGGAAUUCGUGGUGUAGCGGUGAAAUGCUUAGAUAUCACGAAGAACUCCGAUUGCGAAGGCAGCUCACUGGACUGCAACUGACACUGAGGCUCGAAAGUGUGGGUAUCAAACAGGAUUAGAUACCCGUGUAGUC